rnacentral:rRNA from 1 species
GACGAACGCUGGCGGCGUGCUUAACACAUGCAAGUCGAACGGAAAGGCCCUGCUCUUGUGGGGUGCUCGAGUGGCGAACGGGGGAGUAACACGUGAGUAACCUGCCCUUGACUGUGGGAUAACUUCAGGAAACUGGGGCUAAUACCGGAUAUGAGCUCCUGCUGCAUGGGGGGGGUUGGAAAGUUUCGUCGGUUGGGGAUGGACUCGCGGCUUAUCAGCUUGUUGGUGGGGUAGUGGCUUACCAAGGCUUUGACGGGUAGCCGGCCUGAGAGGGUGACCGGCCACAUUGGGACUGGGGUACGGCCCAGACUCCUACGGGAGGCAGCAGUGGGGAAUAUUGCACAAUGGGCGGAAGCCUGAUGCAGCAACGCCGCGUGCGGGAUGACGGCCUUCGGGUUGUAAACCGCUUUCGCCUGUGACGAAGCGUGAGUGACGGUAAUGGGUAAAGAAGCACCGGCUAACUACGUG